CUUAACACAUGCAAGUCGAGGGGCAGCAUGACGAUAGCUUGCUAUUGUUGAUGGCGACCGGCGCACGGGUGAGUAACGCGUAUCCAACCUGCCCUUGUCCAUCGGAUAACCCGUCGAAAGGCGGCCUAACACGAUAUGCAGUCCACAGAAGGCAUCUGACGCGGACGAAAUGUAAAGGAGAAGGAUGGGGAUGCGUCUGAUUAGCUUGUUGGCGGGGUAACGGCCCACCAAGGCGACGAUCAGUAGGGGUUCUGAGAGGAAGGUCCCCCACAUUGGAACUGAGACACGGUCCAAACUCCUACGGGAGGCAGCAGUGAGGAAUAUUGGUCAAUGGGCGAGAGCCUGAACCAGCCAAGUAGCGUGCAGGAUGACGGCCCUAUGGGUUGUAAACUGCUUUUAUGCGGGGAUAAAGUGAGCCACGUGUGGCUUAUUGCAGGUACCGCAUGAAUAAGGACCGGCUAAUUCCGUGCCAGCAGCCGCGGUAAUACGGAAGGUCCGGGCGUUAUCCGGAUUUAUUGGGUUUAAAGGGAGCGUAGGCCGUCUGGUAAGCGUGUUGUGAAAUGUCGGGGCUCAACCUGGGCAUUGCAGCGCGAACUGUCAGACUUGAGUGCGCGGGAAGUAGGCGGAAUUCGUCGUGUAGCGGUGAAAUGCUUAGAUAUGACGAAGAACUCCGAUUGCGAAGGCAGCCUGCUGUAGCGCAACUGACGCUGAAGCUCGAAAGCGUGGGUAUCGAACAGGAUUAGAUACCCUGGUAGUCCACGCGGUAAACGAUGGAUGCUCGCUGUUUGCGUCUGACGUAAGCGGCCAAGCGAAAGCGUUAAGCAUCCCACCUGGGGAGUACGCCGGCA
rnacentral:rRNA from 1 species